AAGUCGCUUAGUGAAAGAACGCUUUGCAAGGGUCCAAAUGCCAGCUGCAGUGGCUACAAGCGAACUACUAAUAGCCAUAGCACGAAGUCCACGAGUAGAUUUGUAAAGAGCACCUGUCAAUGCACCAGCUGCAACACUAUUUUCCCAUCCAUGCUUUUGGCGCUUGUAGCCUAUUAAAGAAUUGAUUCCAUUAUACACGAGGGCAAGCACACCCAAGGAAUUACC